rnacentral:rRNA from 1 species
CCUACGGGAGGCUGCAGUGGGGAAUCUUGCACAAUGGGCGAAAGCCUGAUGCAGCCAUGCCGCGUGAAUGAUGAAGGCCUUAGGGUUGUAAAAUUCUUUCGUCAGGGAUGAUAAUGACCGUACCUGAAGAAGAAGCCCCGGCUAACUUCGUGCCAGCAGCCGCGGUAAUACGAAGGGGGCUAGCGUUGUUCGGAAUUACUGGGCGUAAAGCGCACGUAGGCGGACUUUUAAGUCAGGUGUGAAAUCCCGGGGCUCAACCUCGGAACUGCAUUUGAAACUGGAAGUCUUGAGAUCAGGAGAGGUUAGCGGAAUACCGAGUGUAGAGGUGAAAUUCGUAGAUAUUCGGUGGAACACCAGUGGCGAAGGCGGCUAACUGGACUGAUACUGACGCUGAGGUGCGAAAGUGUGGGGAGCAAACAGGAUUAGAUACCCGAGUAGUC